AGGCAAGGCAGGGUGGCACGCCAAGUGUCUACACAGACACUUGACAGAGCACCUCCUGCCUGAAGCUGGAGUGGUCCUUCACCAUCCCAGCCCAGCCCCUUCAUCUGUGAGGGCCAGAACAGGAAGUGGCUUGCUGAAGUCAUGACACGUUUGAAGGAAACAGGUGACUCCAAACCAGGGAAAUGCAUUUGCAGUAAGAAAGCUAUGGGGAAGAACAGAUGGUGUCCAAGGCAUGGUUAAGAAACACAGAGGUGAGGCAAGUGCGAGGGGCCUGGCUACCUCCCUGCAGGCUGGCAGUGGUAAGUGUCAGGACAGAUGAAGACAUCCCUGUUAAAGGACUGUGGGAUAAACACUCAACCCUCUUAAAGUAUAAAUCAGGUUAUAAAACCACACUUCAUAUGAGUCCAUGCAUUUCAGUUGACCAGUUCUUUCCCUCGCAGGCUCAGAGACCCGCCCCAGGGCACCCGUCAGAAUGCUCACAAGCGCUCAAGUCCUCUGUACAAGUGACUCAUAAGCCAGCCUGGGGAGUCAAGGAGAGAAAUGUUGCCACAGUCUGAGGAAAAUCCCACCAUUACACCAGAUGAGAAAGCAGAUUCAGCUGGAUUAAACAACUUGCCCAAAGUUGUUCAGCUGAAGCAGGAUGGAGCCCAGGCCCGUCUGACACCAAAGCCUGUGCCCUCAAACACUGGCCCACGCUGCCUCUCAGGGCACCAACUCAAAGUCAAUACCAUCACCUCUUCAACAAGGAAGUCACG
rnacentral:lncRNA from 1 species